AGUGAACGCUGGCGGUAGGCCUAACACAUGCAAGUCGAACGGCAGCACAGUAAGAGCUUGCUCUUACGGGUGGCGAGUGGCGGACGGGUGAGGAAUACAGCGGAAUCUACUUUUUCGUGGGGGAUAACGUAGGGAAACUUACGCUAAUACCGCAUACGACCUACGGGUGAAAGCAGGGGAUCUUCGGACCUUGCGCGAUUGAAUGAGCCGAUGUCGGAUUAGCUAGUUGGCGGGGUAAAGGCCCACCAAGGCGACGAUCCGUAGCUGGUCUGAGAGGAUGAUCAGCCACACUGGAACUGAGACACGGUCCAGACUCCUACGGGAGGCAGCAGUGGGGAAUAUUGGACAAUGGGCGCAAGCCUGAUCCAGCCAUGCCGCGUGGGUGAAGAAGGCCUUCGGGUUGUAAAGCCCUUUUGUUGGGAAAGAAAAGCAGCAGGUUAAUACCCCGCUGUUCUGACGGUACCCAAAGAAUAAGCACCGGCUAACUUCGUG
rnacentral:rRNA from 1 species